UCCUUCCCUUUCUUCCUUUCUUUCCUUUUUCCCCCCUUUCUGUCCUUUUUUCCUUCCUUCCUUCCUUUCCUUUCCCUUCUUUUUCCCUUCCCUUCCCUUCCUUUUCCUUCCUUCUUUCUUUACUUCCUUCCUUCCUUCCUUCCUUCCUCCUCCCCCGAUAUUCUGUUACAACGGAUAUAACGGAUUUACUUUGAGAAAACAGAACUGGAAUGCAGUUUCUUGCUUAGUUUAAAGUGAACUGCUAAGGGAAACAUGUUUCCCGGACUUCUCAGAUAAACCCUCUGCAAUCUCUUGGGUUCCUUUCUCCGUUCCUUCUUUAAGAACAUUCUCAAAGCUUUCGUCUAUUGGCAUCGGCUUGGUCUCCACAUCUGCUUUUGUUAUUUCUUGGUCUUCAAUUUCAAUUUCUAAGGAUUCCUCAAUUGGAAGUGACACCUCCCCAUCCUGACUUGAUGAUUUCUUCAUGGAGCAGUGGAAAGAACGUAGUCCAGAAAUUAGAAGGUUUUGGUCCAUGGCACAGGAAAUGUCCAGAAAAGAAAAUCUGUACAGUCAGAAAGCAGAUCAGUGUCUUCCUGGGGCUGUCUAUGAGACAAGGACCAACUGUCAAAGAGAACAAGGGAACUUCCUGAAGUGCUGGAGAUGUCCUACACCUAGUCUGUGAUAAUGACUGCACAACUCUGUACAAUUCUAAAAAGAAAUUGAAUUAUAUGCUUACAAUGAAUAAAUUUUAUGGCAUUUAAUUCACACCUCAAUAAAGCUAUUUUUUAAAACUGAAAAAAAAGUCAAUGAUAAAAGAAAAAUAAGAAACAGGGCUGAGUGUGGUGGCUAAAGCCUGUAAUCCCAAUGCUUUGUGAGGCCAAGGCAGGGAGAUUGCUGGAGUCCAGG
rnacentral:lncRNA from 1 species